AUUGAACGCUGGCGGCAUGCCUUACACAUGCAAGUCGAACGGUAACAGGUCUUCGGAUGCUGACGAGUGGCGAACGGGUGAGUAAUACAUCGGAACGUGCCCGAGAGUGGGGGAUAACGAAGCGAAAGCUUUGCUAAUACCGCAUACGAUCUCAGGAUGAAAGCAGGGGACCGCAAGGCCUUGCGCUCACGGAGCGGCCGAUGGCAGAUUAGGUAGUUGGUGGGGUAAAGGCUUACCAAGCCUACGAUCUGUAGCUGGUCUGAGAGGACGACCAGCCACACUGGGACUGAGACACGGCCCAGACUCCUACGGGAGGCAGCAGUGGGGAAUUUUGGACAAUGGGCGCAAGCCUGAUCCAACCAUGCCGCGUGCAGGAUGAAGGCCUUCGGGUUGUAAACUGCUUUUGUACGGAACGAAAAGCUCUGGGUUAAUACCCUGUGGUCAUGACGGUACCGUAAGAAUAAGCACCGGCUAACUACGUGCCAGCCGCCGCGGUAAAAC
rnacentral:rRNA from 1 species